CGUAGGAUGCAAGCGUUGUCCGGAUUUAUUGGGCGUAAAGAGUUCGUAGGCGGUUCGUUAAGUCUGAUGUUAAAUACUGGGGCUCAACCCUGGAACUGCAUUGGAUACUGGCGGACUGGAGUGCAGUAGAGGCGAGUGGAAUUCCCAGUGUAGCGGUGAAAUGCGUAGAUAUUGGGAAGAACACCGGUGGCGUAAGCGACUCGCUGGGCUGUAACUGACGCUGAGGAACGAAAGCUAGGGGAGCAAAUGGGAUUAGAUACCCCAGUAGUCCUAGCUGUAAACGAUGGAUACUAGGCGUUGCAGGUAUCGACCCCUGCAGUGCCGCAGCUAACGCGAUAAGUAUCCCGCCUGAGUAGUACGGCCGCAAGGUUGAAACUCAAAGGAAUUGACGGGGGCCCGCACAAGCGGUGGAACAUGUGGUUUAAUUCGAAGCAACGCGAAGAACCUUACCAGGGCUUGACAUCUGUAGAACCUUUCGGAAACGAGAGGGUGCUCGCAAGAGAGCUACAAGACAGGUGGUGCAUGGCUGUCGUCAGCUCGUGUCGUG
rnacentral:rRNA from 1 species